GAUGAACGCUGGCGGCGUGCUUAACACAUGCAAGUCGAACGGUGAAGGCGGAGCUUGCUCUGCUGGAUCAGUGGCGAACGGGUGAGUAACACGUGAGCAAUCUGCCCCUGACUCUGGGAUAAGCGCUGGAAACGGCGUCUAAUACUGGAUACGAGCUGCGAAGGCAUCUUCAGCAGCUGGAAAGAACUUCGGUCAGGGAUGAGCUCGCGGCCUAUCAGCUUGUUGGUGAGGUAACGGCUCACCAAGGCGUCGACGGGUAGCCGGCCUGAGAGGGUGACCGGCCACACUGGGACUGAGACACGGCCCAGACUCCUACGGGAGGCAGCAGUGGGGAAUAUUGCACAAUGGGCGAAAGCCUGAUGCAGCGACGCCGCGUGAGGGACGACGGCCUUCGGGUUGUAAACCUCUUUUAGCAGGGAAGAAGCGAAAGUGACGGUACCUGCAGAAAAAGCGCCGGCUAACUACGUG
rnacentral:rRNA from 1 species